rnacentral:rRNA from 1 species
CCUACGGGUGGCAGCAGUGGGGGAUAUUGCACAAUGGAGGAAACUCUGAUGCAGCGAUGCCGCGUGAGGGAAGACGGUCUUCGGAUUGUAAACCUCUGUCUUUGGGGAAGAAAAUGAUGGUACUCAAAGAGGAAGCUCCGGCUAACUACGUGCCAGCAGCCGCGGUAAUACGUAGUGAGCGAGGGUUGUCCGGAAUUACGGGGUGAAAAGGGAGAGUAGGCGGACGAGGAAGUUGAAUGUAAAAUCUACCGGUUUAACUGGUAGCUGCGUUCAAAACUUCUUGUCUUGAGUGAAGUAGAGGCAGGCGGAAUUCCUAGUGUAGCGGGGAAAUGCGUAGAGAUGAGGAGGAACACCAGUGGCGAAGGCGGCCUGCUGGGCUUUAACUGACGCUGAGGCUCGAAAGCGUGGGGAGCAAACAGGAUUAGAUACCCGAGUAGUC